UUCUCAGCCUUACACACUAGAGAGCUCGCUGUGGUCAGCUCCGGAAUGCGAGUCUGAGCUGCUGUGAGCCACGAGCGAUCUUGUGAGUGUGGCCACCACGAUGGACAGAUGGUAGUGCCUAGGAGCAAUAAAGCCGCCAGGAGAAGAACAUUUCUCAGUUCAUGCGUGUACUGACACACCUGAAGACGAUGACCCACCUGCAGAUCACCUGGGCGAUAACUAUCAUCGUCCUCACCUCGCAGUGCCUGGCUGAUCCUCCUCUUCGAGCGGUCCCUCCCGCUAACCCCAAUGCCUAUCUUCGCGGAGUGGGCGGUGGAGAGUCCAAAGUUCAAACGUUCACUUCUGUAGAGGAGCUGUGUGAGUGGCUCUGUGAACGCCCCCACCCUGUCGUCAGCUACGGGUGCCCACCCAGCUGCAGCAUGGCGUCGAUGAAUCCGUGGUCCAAGCGGUCCGUGCGGAGGCGAUUCGAUGACUUCAGGUUUGACACAAACUUCGAUGACUAUCUCUUCAUGAAGCUGCUGGGGCGUAACCUUGGCGACAAGCAGUGAAAGACAUUCUUCUUGUGAGUUUGUCCACCCCGGGGAGGAUGCCACGUCAUCAAGCUUGACCCCAGUAAAAGUAAUUCUAUGUUUCGGCCAAUAAAACUUACGGCUCUGAUUGCGAACUUUGAUUAUUACAUAUAAUCUCACGACACAAAUAUAAUAGCGAUUAGUUGUUCAAAAUUAACCAAACACAUCACACGACCUUCUGUUUUAUUUGAGAUAUUUCAAAUCACCGGCCAUUUCAAGCUCCUGCCCACAUGAAUGGCGUUUGGAGGCAUCCAACAUUCACAUCGUAUUCUAAGAUGAAGAGGCUUAUGGGUCCAUUUCUUGUGGGUAAAACUAAUCCAGUUUCUAAUCUGUAUUUAUUUAGCCCAAUGACCACUUGCUUAUUUAUUUUAUUGAAGUUGUUAGAUUAACGUGGUCUUUGUCCUCAGCAUGUACUAGCAUUAGACCGUAUGAUCUGUAUUUUCAAAAAACUCAUUUUGUUCAAGAUACAUUCUGAAGUCAUUGCAUUGCAAGGACAGUUAGUGUCUAUUGCUGUUACUUUAUUUUAACAACAACAACAACAACAAUAACAAUAAUAAUAAUAAUAAUAAUAAUAAUAAUAAUAAUAAUAAUAAUAA
rnacentral:misc_RNA from 1 species